rnacentral:rRNA from 1 species
GAUGAACGCUGGCGGCGUGCCUAAUACAUGCAAGUCGAGCGAACAGACGAUGAGCUUGCUCCUCUGACGUUAGCGGCGGACGGGUGAGUAACACGUGGAUCACCUACCUCUAUGACUGGGAUAACUUCGGGAAACCGGAGCUAAUACCGGAUAACAUGUUGAACCGCAUGGUUCAACAGUUCAAGACGGUCUUGCUGUCACUUAUAGCUGAAUCCGCGCUGCAUUAGCUAGUUGGUAAGGUACCGGCUUACCAAGGCAACGAUGCGUAGCCGACCUGAGAGGAGGAUCGGCAAAACUGGAAUGGAGAAAGGGCCAAGACCCCUAGGGGAGGAAGCAGUGGGAAAUAUUGGAAAAUGGGGGAAACCUGGAGGAACAAAGACCGGGUAGGGAAAAAGGGCCUCGGAGCUGAAAACUCCGUUUGUAGGGAAAAAAAAAUGUGAAAGUAAUAAUGCACGGCUUGAAGGUACCUAAUAAGAAAACCACGGCUAAAUACGUG